rnacentral:rRNA from 1 species
UACGUAGGGCGCAAGCGUUAUCCGGAAUUAUUGGGCGUAAAGCGCGCGCAGGCGGUUUUUUAAGUUCGUGGUGAAAGACCGGGGCUCAACCCCGGAGCGUCCGCGAAGACUGGAAGACUGGAGUGUCGGAGAGGAGUGCGGAAUCCCUGGUGUAGCGGUGGAAUGCGGAGAGAUCAGGGGGAACACCGAUGGCGAAGGGAGCACUCUGGCCGAAAACUGACGCUGAGGCGCGAAAGCGUGGGGAGCGAACGGG